rnacentral:rRNA from 1 species
UACGUAGGGUGCAAGCGUUAAUCGGAAUUACUGGGCGUAAAGCGUGCGCAGGCGGUGAUGUAAGACAGAUGUGAAAUGCCCGGGCUUAACCUGGGAACUGCAUUUGUGACUGCAUGGCUAGAGUUUGGCAGAGGGGGGUAGAAUUCCACGUGUAGCAGUGAAAUGCGUAGAUAUGUGGAGGAACACCGAUGGCGAAGGCAGCCCCCUGGGUCAAGACUGACGCCCAUGCACGAAAGCGUGGGGAGCAAACAGG